CCUCCCAAAGUGCUGGGAUUAUAGGCAUGAGCCACUGUGCCUGGCCCAGGGUUUUUGUAUUUUUAAGAGCAUUAUUUCAUAAAAUAUUAUCUUACACGUAAUCCAACUAAUUGACAUGUAGCUCAUCUAUGGCAGUUUGUAAUGCUGGGCCAGCUGUCCUGAACUGCGGAGCUCCCCUUACUAUUAUUGUUAGAUAAACAGUAGAUGGGGAUAGCAAGGCUGCUGUUCUGGAUGAUCCUAAUGCUCCACUUCUUUGUAUGAUGGCUGCACAAAAGAACCACUAAGUGUUUUCUUGUCCAUCCUUAACGGACUUUAAAACAAAUUAUGCCUCUUUAAGCCCUUGAAAAUCUUUAUCGAAAGAGGAAAAGUUUUGUUGGAGCAGUAUAUAUUCUCUAUUUUUAUGUUUAUUUAAUCUAUAACAGAAAUGAGUAAGGGUAGCAAGAAGUUCUCACUCAGUAACUCAACAGUGUGAUUAGCCCAGUGAUAAAAAUAGACAUUAGAAUGGAAAUACCUACUUAACAUCAGGAAAAUAUUCCUGGAGAACUUAAUAAAUCAGGAGGUGAGGGAUGAGAUUUUUUCUGCACACAGUCGGAACAAAAGCACAAAGAAGCAAAGACACUCUCUAGCAUCAAACAGAGGAACCACAGUCACUUCAGUGGAUCAGAAAUAUGAAGCACAUGACAGAGGCUGUAUCGUGGAGGAUCUCACAAGUCACGUGAAGGAACGAAGACCAACAUACCAGGUAUGAGAGAGUUUUAAGCAAAGGAAUGACAUCAUCAGUUUGCUAUACAGGUUCUCGAUCUCUUAUCCAAGCUGGCGUACAGUGGCAUGAUCAUAGCUCAUUGCAGCCUUCCUCCUGGGCUCAAGUGAUCCUCCAGCCUUAGCCUCCCAAGUAGCUAGGAUUACAGGUGCCAACCUCCAUGCCUGGCUUCAGUUGCUUUCUCUGAUCUAACUGCAUUGAUUGACUAAUACCUCCAGUAAAAUACAAUAAUGGAGAUCAAUGGUACUGCUCCUGAAAUCAGAGGUAACAGUAAUAAUUCCUACUAAAAGCCUCACUUUUCUGACAUACUCCUAGACAAACAAAUCAUAAAACUGUUCUAAUGAAGAAAAACUUUAUUCAGCACAGGAAUAGAUGGGCUUUCAAAUUAUCUUUUGUUUUAUGGUUAUUAGUUUUAUAAACCAUCUGAUCCAUGGCAAAACUAACUGGUACCAUACAAAGAUGUUUGUCUAUUGUCAUGUUUAGGUUUGGUUUCUAUUCUACCUUUGUUAACAAAUACAUUUAAAUCUAGAUAGAAACAUUUGUGAUUGCAUUAGUGCACGGUAAUACAUGGCAGAUACAUUGCUUAAGCUGCUAAUAAGGAGUCAGAUGUUCUACAACCUUCAGGCACAGGCACAGAUUUGCAUUUUAUGCAAAAAUUCAGGUUUUACUCAGUUUUUACAUUGGUGGAAGCUGAUGUCAUUAACUUACAGGCAAGCAAAUACUUUUGUAAUUCUUAGGUGAACAAAAAUACACACAGUGUAGCCUUUUACUUGGGCAAGACUUGCUUUUUAUAUUUCACAAGAGAAUGCAAUUAUAACCCUUCCUUGAACAAAAUGACCAGGAUACUAACAAAACCAUCUUUGCAGUU